UCGGAUAGUAACUCCCAAGUAAGGUACCUG
rnacentral:piRNA from 1 species